rnacentral:rRNA from 1 species
GACGAACGCUGGCGGCGUGCUUAACACAUGCAAGUCGAACGGAAAGGCCCUGCUUUUGUGGGGUGCUCGAGUGGCGAACGGGUGAGUAACACGUGAGUAACCUGCCCUUGACUUUGGGAUAACUUCAGGAAACUGGGGCUAAUACCGGAUAGGAGCUCCUGCUGCAUGGUGGGGGUUGGAAAGUUUCGGCGGUUGGGGAUGGACUCGCGGCUUAUCAGCUUGUUGGUGGGGUAGUGGCUUACCAAGGCUUUGACGGGUAGCCGGCCUGAGAGGGUGACCGGCCACAUUGGGACUGAGAUACGGCCCAAACUCCUACGGGAGGCAGCAGUGGGGAAUAUUGCACAAUGGGCGGAAGCCUGAUGCAGCAACGCCGCGUGCGGGAUGACGGCCUUCGGGUUGUAAACCGCUUUCGCCUGUGACGAGGCGUGAGUGACGGUAAUGGGUAAAGAAGCACCGGCUAACUACGUG